GAACGCUAGCGGCAUGCUUAACACAUGCAAGUCGAACGGCAGCGCAAGGGGCUUUCUCCUGGCGGCGAGUGGCGGACGGGUGAGUAAUGCGUAGGAAUCUACCUUAAAUAGUGGGGGAUAACCUGAGGAAACUCGGGCUAAUACCGCAUGAUCUCUUCGGAGCAAAGCGGGGGAUCGUUAGACCUCGUGCUAUAAGAUGAGCUUACGUCGGAUUAGUUUGUUGGUGGGGUAAAGGCCUACCAAGGCGAUGAUCCGUAGCUGGUCUGAGAGGACGAUCAGCCACACUGGGACUGAGACACGGCC
rnacentral:rRNA from 1 species